rnacentral:rRNA from 1 species
CCUACGGGUGGCAGCAGUGAGGAAUAUUGGUCAAUGGGCGCGAGCCUGAACCAGCCAAGUCGCGUGAAGGAUGACGGUCCUACGGAUUGUAAACCUCUUUUGCCGGGGAGCAAGCGUUCGUUCGUGAACGCUCGUCGAUAGUACCCGGAGACAAAGCAUCGGCUAACUCCGUGCCAGCAGCCGCGGUAAUACGGAGGAUGCGAGUGUUCUCCGGAUUUAUUGGGUUUAAGGGGUGCGUAGGCGGGAUGCCAAGUCAGCGGUAAAGAUGCGGUGCUCACCGCGGGCGAGCCGUUGAAACUGGCGUUCUUGAGUGGGCGAGAAGUAGGCGGAAUGCGUGGUGUAGCGGUGAAAUGCAUAGAUAUCACGCAGAACUCCGAUUGCGAAGGCAGCACACCGGAGCCCGACUGACGCUGAGGUACGAAAGCGUGGGUAUCGAACAGGAUUAGAUACCCGAGUAGUC